UUUUGGAAAUGUUUUGUAAAAUCAUAUUUCAAUAAAUAUGAAGAUUUCUCUAAAGUACUUUUUGCAUGAAAAACAAAGUGGAAAAAGACAGACUUUUUGUCAUUUAUACUGUAGGUAACUGUGUUAUGAGUGUACUGGUCCGGCCCUCUUGACAUCACCCCUGAUCUAAUCUGAAUGCUUCAUUGGCUGGUAUUCUAUUGUUGAAGAUAAUUGCUAUGAUGUCCACCUGAGUACAACGUGUUAUUAUAGCAGAACGCCUGAGAACAUUCUAAUUGCUGGGCAUCGUGUGAUCUGUGGCGUUUCCCUGUCCGUCCUGUUAGCUGCAGCAAACGGCACAGCGGUGUCAGACUGCUUCCCCUGUCUCUCCUCCCUAUGUUCCUUUUUUGGUUUGUUUAUUUUAAUUGACUGCCGCUAAACCUAUAAUCGUGAAAGAAGGCUAACUUAGACCGUGCAGGCCAUUUAUUAAAUACCCCACAUUUCAGAAAAUUAAGGAGUGAUUGGCCGACAAGAAUUUCAGAUCAAUUGAUUUUAAAAAGAGCCAUUGGGCAUCACUGAGGAUCUGUAGUUAUAUGACUAUAUAAAUCAAUUAUGAAGAAAAAAGAAGAAUUGGCCUGUAAAGUCCCUGUAUGUGGACAAACAAAAUAAUAAUAUUAUUAAUAAUAAAAUAAUACAGUCUUUGCAUGUAUCUCCCUGAGGAACAUUGCUUUCAUUCCAGGGGAGCAAAGGAUUUUGGUACUUGCGCAAUGUCACGGCUAGUCAUAUAUAUACAUUCCAGUACUGCAGUACUGGAAUGUAUAUACUGUGGGGGUGACUAAAAAUAAUAAUAGUAUAUUUUAAUUUAAAAUAUGACUAUAAAUAACCUAAACCAAUCACCACAGACCAAAAAACAUUAAAAUAUAACAACUACUGCAUAAUAAUAAUUUGACAUUGUAAACUAGCUUACAACAACAACGUUGUAGCCUCCUGGUCAGCAACGAGUGAAUGUUAAUUGUGAAAAAUCUUGUAUGUUUUUGAUGUGAUCUAACAUUCAGUUAAUUUGUAUUAUUCUUACUGAUAUGUGUGCAUUUUACCACAACAUGAGAAAAAAAAUAGUAUCUUAUUAGUUUUAAUAUCAAGUAUUUACACCAAAACUGCUUCGUAACCAAAACUGAUGUUCCCUCUUAGCUGCGCGCCUGGAUAAAUACAAUUCAACAUUUUCGCCCUUAAAGUUAUUAACCAUUGAACCGAAAAAUAACGUAACAAUGUAACUCAGUGAGUGACAGGUGUCCAGCCAAUGAUACGAGACGCAGCCAAUCAUACCAUUGACGGUGCUGACGUAUGUGCCCUGCCCAUGCGCGCCGCCCAGGUUAGCUAGUUGACCACAGUGCUGCGGAAUUCAAAGACGUCAAUGCUAAGUAAAAAUGCUAAUGACCGGACACUUAACAAGUCAAAGAAAUGCGGUUCUUUUGAGACUGAAUGACCGUCGGAGUAUGUGUAAACAGAACAACAAGUGGUAUAAUUGAGUUUUGAGAUUUUCUUUUUCGAGCGAGAACUUCUUUUGCAAAACGUUCGGCGAAGCCUAUGUAGCAAGCGAGCUUUCAGAGGGAAAUAUGGACUGAACGGAAGUAGGACUACCUACAACGUCACACUCAUCAGACUGCACCUGAACAAACAUGGCCGCCCCUCCAAUAUGAGAUGCACGAUCAGCACACUUAAGUGUCAGGCAAAGUUACCUGUAACCUGACACCACACACACCAUCACGACGAUUGUCGACAAUCAACGUCUGACCAAUCAUCAGGGUUGGAUUGAUGGGGAAUCCAGUUUGGCUAGCGUGAAAACGUCGCUACAAAUGAACAAAGGAGGAAACUCAAUGCAUGAACAGUUGAACCAAACGUACUGCUGCUGCCAGGGCAGGUGAAAGAGUAGAUGCUGGAGAGAACACCUUCAGGAGGAACCCUUCUUCUUCUUAAGGAAUAACGUUGUGAAGAAGAGGACAAACGUCUCCUAGAAACCAGUCCACGCCCACUCCUUAACUGCUUUGGAUGUCUGUGGAAGUCUGUCGUCCUCUGAUCAGCUGGUGGAGUGAAGACGUUGAAGGUAUUCCCUUCUUGGAAUAACGUUGUGAAGAAGAGGACAAACGUCUCCUAGAAACCAAGCCACGCCCACUCCUUAACUGCUUUGGAUGUCUGUGGAAGUCUGUCGUCCUCUGAUCAGCUGGUGGAGUGAAGACGUUGAAGGUAUUCCCUUCUUGGAAUAACGUUGUGAAGAAGAGGACAAACGUCUCCUAGAAACCAAGCCACGCCCACUCCUUAACUGCUUUGGAUGUCUGUGGAAGUCUGUCGUCCUCUGAUCAGCUGGUGGAGUGAAGACGUUGAAGGUAUUCCCUUCUUGGAAUAACGUUGUGAAGAAGAGGACAAACGUCUCCUAGAAACCAAGCCACGCCCACUCCUUAACUGCUUUGGAUGUCUGUGGAAGUCUGUCGUCCUCUGAUCAACUGGUGGAGUGAAGACGUUGAAGGCAUUCCCUUCUUGAAACUCCUUUGACGUUCGACCUCUUCGGCUUUGGACGACUGGAGUCAAAAGGCGUUCAAACCCCACGCAGAGCAGCUGACCUGAAAAGUAUUUUUAAAGAAGGAAUUAUUUUUGUACAUUGUAAACAUUAACAUAAUGUCUAAUUUAUAAGGUUUUUGUAAUAAGUAGGUUGUAACCUUGAUGGAUUGUCUAUUUUGUGUUUUCCACUAGACUCCAAAAUAUUUUAACUUCUUUUUUUGUUAUUGUAAAAAUGGCUUAGUUAACUUUUUGCAGCACAUGUGUAAGACAAGAUGUGCAAAAGUAUGUAUUUUUUUUAUCAAUUGCAAAUAAAGGUAUAUUCUUUAUAAUUUAAAAAAUAUCUCAGUUUUUUUUAAUAACCCUAUUUCUUGUCUCUUUGAUCUUAAAUUUAAUUUUAUAUCUGAAGCCACACAAGAUAUGGACUGGCUAAUCUCACAGCUACGCCCUCGCACCUAGAUAUAACCUAUAGCCUUACUAUCAAGAAAAAUGCUAAAAAAUAUAAAGUCCCAGAAACACAUCAGUGUUUGUUUGCAAGUGCAAGUUUAUA